UGUGUUAUAGUAAAGCAUUGCCACAACCAGCUGCAACAGCAAGGUUUUUAGCGAUUGGGCUGUGCUACAGUAAAGCAUUGCCACAACCAGCUGCAGCAGCAAGGUAUCAGCGAUGGGGCUCUGUUAUAGUAAAGCAUAGCCACAACCAGCUGCAGCAGCAACGUAUCAGCGAUGGGGCUGUGUUAUGGUAAAGCAUUGCCACAACCAGCUGCAGCAGCAAGGUAUCAGCGAUGGGGCUGUGUUAUAGUAAAACAUUGCCACAACCAGCUGCAGCAGCAAGGUAUCAGCGAUGGGGCUGUGUUAUAGUAAAGCAUUGCCACAACCAGCUGCAGCAGCAAGGUAUCAGCGAUGGGGCUGUGUUAUAGUAAAGCAUUGCCA